GCUUCCGUGGUCCAAUGGUUAGGAUUGUAAGAAACCACUUUCUCAUCACACUAAUAUCCUAACUAACAAUAUUCUAGCCACCCUUCCACUCUUCAGUGAGCUAGGUGGAGGUUCGUGUUCGAUUCACGGCGGUUGCA